rnacentral:lncRNA from 1 species
CCGGAUUAACUUGGGUAGUUCUGCCACAGCUACCUAUUAGACGAUAACAAUGUACUUGCCUUUAAUACGUCUACUCUUGGAGCUAGGUAGGUACUUAGUUGCAAAGUUACUCUUCAUUGGUAAAAAAAAGAUGACAAAUCAAGAACUUGACGUGAUCAAAGAACUGAGAUCGCACAUUGUGCUGCUUCAACCCAUCUCAUCUCAUCUCAUCUCCUCCCUUGCCC